rnacentral:rRNA from 1 species
AGUGAACGCUGGCGGUAGGCCUAACACAUGCAAGUCGAACGGCAGCACAGUAAGAGCUUGCUCUUACGGGUGGCGAGUGGCGGACGGGUGAGGAAUACAUCGGAUUCUACUUUUUCGGGGGGGAUAACGUAGGGAAACUUACGCUAAUACCGCAUACGACCUACGGGUGAAAGCAGGGGAUCUUCGCACCUUGCGCGAUUGAAUGAGCCGAUGUCGGAUUAGCUAGUUGGCGGGGUAAAGGCCCACCAAGGCGACGAUCCGUAGCUGGUCUGAGAGGAUGAUCAGCCACACUGGAACUGAGACACGGUCCAGACUCCUACGGGAGGCAGCAGUGGGGAAUAUUGGACAAUGGGCGCAAGCCUGAUCCAGCAAUACCGCGUGGGUGAAGAAGGCCUUCGGGUUGUAAAGCCCUUUUGUUGGGAAAGAAAAGCAGCAGGUUAAUACCCCGCUGUUCUGACGGUACCCAAAGAAUAAGCACCGGCUAACUUCGUG